ACCCCUUAUCUGCUGUUUUGGCAGCACGGGGCACGAUAACUGUCAACUGAGUUUGGAGGAAAAAAAAGUGAAAAAGUAUUUAAAUAAACAAUGAACAAUCGUCUAUCAGUAAAAUCCUGUCCGGCAAUAGCUGCAAACGUGAAAAAAGAGUUUUCAGAAAUCGGAUGGAUUCGAUUGUUUCAGGGCAAUACUAAUGAGAUGCGCCGUGAUGAAAACGUAAGGAGUUCCGAGAGAAAUAAGUAAAUAAGAGAGAAAUAAGUGAAUAAGCAAUGAACAAUCGUCUAUCAAUCAAAUCCUGUCCGGGUGCAGUGAUGAAAACGUAAGGAGUUCGGAGGGAAAAAAGUGACCCGGCAAAAAAUGUUAAAUGUGAACAAUUACCUAUCAAUUAAGUCAUGACCGGUGAUAGCUGCAAACGUAAGGAAAAAGGCAUGUUCGUUUUCCGUUAUCAUUGCACAAAAAAACUAGUUUUCAGAAAUCGUCGAAUGAAAUCGGUUUUUUGGGACAACAUUGAUGAAAUACACCGGGAUGUGUCAGUGUAAAUGUAAAUGUCUAAAAACCAUUUCUUUAUUGAAAAAUCAAGUAAUUGUAAAAAUAAAGUGAAUGGUAAUUCUUUCGUCAUUCUGUAGCAAUAGUUGUGAGUCAUCUGCUUCACAAUUAGUUCCUUCUGCAAUUUUCUCACUAGCCGAAAUGGCAGCGUAUUUGAAUGCAGCUCCAUACUGGUGGGCAUUUGGGGCAUCGUUUCGACCGCAACGUCUUCUGGACUCUGAGAAGCUAUUCUCGAGGCAGUCUUGAGAAACGUCCCGCAUAGUUCUUCAAAACAAAUUUCGUUCAUCAAUUUAUCCCACAGCAAACGGAG